rnacentral:ncRNA from 1 species
UAACUCCCACCUGGGUAGCCGCUAGCCACGAGCCCAGUAUCGAGUGUUGCAGGUUGUCUGGUAACAGGCAAGUUGAAGCGUACACAGAAAGGAAGCGAGGAUGAAAGGUAUGGACUAGCUAUCCAGCCCUGAAUGGUACUGAGCCCCGAAAUUAUUGUAACUGUCGGAUUCUGCCCAAGGUGUGUGCAUACUGGAAGGCAAUACCGAACACCGCGUCAUGGCGAGCGUUGUUUGGAGACCCGGGGUCGAACGCCC